CAAUAGCGUAUAUUAAAGUUGUUGCAGUUAAAAAGCUCGUAGUUGGAUUUCUGAUCGAGACAUCAGGUCGGGUCCGAGAGGAUCUUGUACUUUGAUUUUGUUUUGAUCAUUCUUGGGGAGAGCAUUUCUGGCAUUCAGUUGUCGGGAUUGGGAUCCUCAUCGUUUACUGUGAAAAAAUUAGAGUGUUCAAAGCAGGCCUCGGCCUCUGAAUACAUUAGCAUGGAAUAAUAAGAUAGGACUUUGGUGGUCUAUUUUGUUGGUUUGCACGCCAAAGUAAUGAUUAAUAGGGAUAGUUGGGGGUAUUCGUAUUCAAUUGUCAGAGGUGAAAUUCUUGGAUUUAUGGAAGACGAACUACUGCGAAAGCAUUUACCAAGGAUGUUUUCAUUAA
rnacentral:rRNA from 1 species